rnacentral:rRNA from 1 species
UACAGAGGGUGCAAGCGUUGUUCGGAAUUAUUGGGCGUAAAGCGCGUGUAGGCGGCUUUGCAGGUCGGGUGUGAAAUCCCUCAGCUUAACUGAGGAAGUGCGCCCGAAACUGCAGAGCUUGAGUACCGGAGAGGGUGGCGGAAUUCCCCAAGUAGAGGUGAAAUUCGUAGAUAUGGGGAGGAACACCGGUGGCGAAGGCGGCCACCUGGACGGAUACUGACGCUGAGACGCGAAAGCGUGGGGAGCAAACAGG